GGUUGUGGCUCAGUGGUAGAGCGCUUGCCUAGCAUGUGUGAGGCACUGGGGUUGAUCCCCAGCAUCA
rnacentral:tRNA from 1 species